rnacentral:rRNA from 1 species
UACGGAGGGUGCGAGCGUUGUCCGGAAUCACUGGGCUUAAAGGGUGCGUAGGCGGCGCGGAAAGUUGGGUGUGAAAUCCCUCGGCUUAACCGAGGAACGGCGCCCAAAACUACCGUGCUCGAGGGAGAUAGGGACGAGCGGAACUGUGAGUGGAGCGGUGAAAUGCGUUGAUAUUCACAGGAACUCCGGUGGCGAAGGCGGCUCGCUGGAUCUUUUCUGACGCUGAGGCGCGAAAGCUAGGGGAGCAAACAGG